rnacentral:rRNA from 1 species
UGAGUAACACGUAUCCAACCUGCCCUUUACUCGGGGAUAGCCUUUCGAAAGAAAGAGUAAUACCCGAUAGCAUAAUGAUUCCGCAUGGUUUCAUUAUUAAAGGAUUCCGGUAAAGGAUGGGGAUGCGUUCCAUUAGGUUGUUGGUGAGGUAACGGCUCACCAAGCCUUCGAUGGAUAGGGGUUCUGAGAGGAAGGUCCCCCACAUUGGAACUGAGACACGGUCCAAACUCCUACGGGAGGCAGCAGUGAGGAAUAUUGGUCAAUGGGCGUUAGCCUGAACCAGCCAAGUAGCGUGAAGGAUGAAGGCUCUAUGGGUCGUAAACUUCUUUUAUAUAAGAAUAAAGUGCAGUAUGUAUACUGUUUUGUAUGUAUUAUAUGAAUAAGGAUCGGCUAACUCCGUGCCAGCAGCCGCGGUAAUACGGAGGAUCCGAGCGUUAUCCGGAUUUAUUGGGUUUAAAGGGAGCGUAGGUGGACUGGUAAGUCAGUUGUGAAAGUUUGCGGCUCAACCGUAAAAUUGCAGUUGAUACUGUCAGUCUUGAGUACAGUAGAGGUGGGCGGAAUUCGUGGUGUAGCGGUGAAAUGCUUAGACGUCACGAAGAACUCCGAUUGCGAAGGCAGC